AGGGGCGGCUGCAACUGGCGCGGAUGGAAAACCAUCGGGGAGCAGCGGACCACCGAUACGUGAGCGUCGCCCGCCUGGGCGCUCACC
rnacentral:ncRNA from 2 species